CAAGAAUUUAUGAGUUUAUGGGGAAUACCUUGGCAUUUAAAAGCGAAGAAGGACGUGGUUACCUACGAAAUGUUUCGGGGAGUUGGAAACAAAUUAUGAUCCGAAGAUAUCCGAAUAAGGAAACUUGUAUAACUACUUAUUUAAUAAAUAAAUAAGUGAGAGCAAACCUAGAGAAUUGAAACAUCUAAGUAUCUAGAGGAAAAGAAAGUAAAAACGAUUUUCUUAGUAGCGGCGAGCGAAAAGGAAACAGCCUAAACAUUUCGUCUUAUUAAAAGGACAAGCGGGAUGAGUUGUGGGAUAAUUAAUUAAUUUAAAAUUACAAAUGUGGAUUUUGCACAAUUAUGUUUAUAAAAAAUUCAAGUUUAAUUAAAGGAACAUUUUGGAAUAUUUGACCCAAGAGAGUGAUAGUCUCGUACUUGAAAAUUAACUUAAACUAUUUAUAUAGAAUCCCAAGUAGCAUGGAGCACGUGAAAUUCCGUGUGAAUCUGCGAGGACCACCUCGUAAGGCUAAAUAUUCUUAAAUGACCGAUAGUGAAAUAGUACCGUGAGGGAAAGGUGAAAAGAACCGUGAAUAACGGAGUGAAAUAGACCCUGAAACCAUACGCCUACAAGCGGUCGGAGCCAAUUUAUUGGUGACGGCGUGCCUUUUGCAUAAUGAGCCUACGAGUUACCGUUGCUAGCAAGGUUAAGGACUUCAGGUCCGGAUCCGUAGCGAAAGCGAGUCUGAAUAGGGCGCUUAAGUUAGUAGUGGUAGACGCGAAACCGUGUGAUCUACCCAUGGGCAGGGUGAAGCUGUGGUAACACACAGUGGAGGCCCGAACCGGUUGACGUUGAAAAGUCUUCGGAUGACCUGUGGGUAGGGGUGAAAGGCCAAUCAAACUCGGAAAUAGCUCGUACUCCCCGAAAUGCAUUUAGGUGCAGCGUUGAUUUAGUUUUAUAGAGGUAGAGCUACUGAUUGGAUGCGGGGGCUUCACCGCCUACCAAUUCCUGACAAACUCCGAAUGCUAUAAAAUGAUGAUCAGCAGUGAGGGCAUGGGUGCUAAGGUCCAUGUCCGAGAGGGAAAGAACCCAGACCAUCAGCUAAGGUCCCCAAAUGUAUGUUAAGUUGAAUAAACGAGGUUGGAUUGCAUAGACAGCUAGGAUGUUGGCUUGGAAGCAGCCAUUCAUUUAAAGAGUGCGUAACAGCUCACUAGUCGAGCGAUCGUGCGUGGAUAAUAAUCGGGCAUAAGUAUAGUACCGAAGCGGUAGAUUUUAUGGUAGGGGAGCAUUCAUACAUCACUGAAGGUGUGGCGUAAGCCAUGCUGGAGAGGUAUGAAAAGAAAAUGUAGGCAUAAGUAACGAUAAAGCAGGCGAGAAACCUGCUCACCAUUAGACUAAGGUUUCCUGAUCAACGCUAAUCGGAUCAGGGUUAGUCGGGACCUAAGGCGAAACCGAAAGGUGUAGUCGAUGGACAACAGGUUAAUAUUCCUGUACCCGCUAUACAACAAAAGUGACGGAGAUGUGUAGCUGCCUCGUGCUGACGGAAUAGCACGGUGAGCCUAGCCUUCGGGCGAAGCGAGGUAGUGAAUCAGCUUCCAAGAAAAGCGAGUAUAGCGGCCCGUACCGCAAACCGACACAGGUAGUCAAGGAGAGUAUCCUAAGGUGCUCGAGUGAUUCGUGGUUAAGGAACUAGGCAAAUUAGUCUCGUAACUUCGGAAUAAGAGACGCUCUUCGGAGCCGCAGUGAAUAGGUCCAGGCGACUGUUUAUCAAAAACACAUGGCUUUGCUAAAUCGAAAGAUGAUGUAUAAGGCCUGACACCUGCCCGGUGCCGGAAGGUUAAGAGGAGAUGUUAGCUUUGCGAAGCAUUGAAUUGAAGCCCCGGUAAACGGCGGCCGUAACAAUAACGGUCCUAAGGUAGCGAAAUUCCUUGUCGGGUAAGUUCCGACCUGCACGAAUGGUGUAACGAUCUGGACACUGUCUCAACCACGAGCUCGGUGAAAUUGUAGUAUCGGUGAAGAUGCCGAUUACCCGCAACGGGACGGAAAGACCCCGUGAACCUUUACUAUAGCUUCACAGUGAACUUUGAACCUAUUUGUGUAGGAUAGGUGGGAGGCUUUGAAGCAGCGGCGCCAGUCGUUGUGGAGCCAUCCUUGAAAUACCACCCUUAUUCUUUUCGUUGUCUAACCGCGUCCCUGGAUGGGACCGGGACCCAGCCUGGCGGGCAGUUUGACUGGGGCGGUCGCCUCCUAAAUGGUAACGGAGGCGCACAAAGGUUUCCUCUGAACGGGUAGAAAUCGUAUCUAGAGUGUAAAGGCAAAAGGGAGCUUGACUGUGAGACUCACAAGUCGAGCAGGGACGAAAGUCGGUCUUAGUGAUCUGACGGUGCUGAGUGGAAAGGCCGUCACUCAACGGAUAAAAGUUACUCUAGGGAUAACAGGCUGAUCUCCCCCAAGAGUUCACAUCGACGGGGAGGUUUGGCACCUCGAUGUCGGCUCAUCGCAUCCUGGGGCGGUAGUACGUCCCAAGGGUUGGGCUGUUCGCCCAUGAAAGCGGUACGCGAGCUGGGUUCAGAACGUCGUGAGACAGUUCGGUCCAUAUCCGGUGUAGGCGUUAGAAUAUUGAGAGGAGCCUUUUUUAGUACGAGAGGACCAAGAAGGACAUACCGCUGGUGUACCAGUUAUCAUGCCAAUGGUAAACGCUGGGUAGCUAUGUAUGGAGAGGAUAACCGCUGAAAGCAUCUAAGUGGGAAGCCCACCUCAAGAUGAGUAUUCUUAUCAUUUAUAUGAAUAAGGUCACGGUAAGACGAACCGUUUUAAUAGGCAUUAAGUAUAAAUGCAGUAAUGUAUGAGCUAAGAUGUACUAACAGACCGAGGACUUG
rnacentral:rRNA from 1 species